AGAGUUUGAUCCUGGCUCAGAUUGAACGCUGGCGGAAUGCUUUACACAUGCAAGUCGAACGGCAGCACGGGUGCUUGCACCUGGUGGCGAGUGGCGAACGGGUGAGUAAUGCGUCGGAACGUACCGAGUAAUGGGGGAUAACGCAGCGAAAGUUGUGCUAAUACCGCAUACGCCCUCCGGGGGAAAGCAGGGGAUCUUCGGACCUUGCGUUAUUCGAGCGGCCGACGUCUGAUUAGCUAGUUGGUGGGGUAAAGGCCUACCAAGGCGACGAUCAGUAGCGGGUCUGAGAGGAUGAUCCGCCACACUGGAACUGAGACGCGGUCCAGACUCCUACGGGAGGCAGCAGUGGGGAAUUUUGGACAAUGGGGGCAACCCUGAUCCAGCCAUUCCGCGUGAGUGAAGAAGGCCUUCGGGUUGUAAAGCUCUUUCAGCAGGAACGAAACGGUACGCUCUAACAUAGUGUGCUAAUGACGGUACCUGCAGAAGAAGCACCGGCUAACUACGUGCCAGCAGCCGCGGUAAUACGUAGGGUGCGAGCGUUAAUCGGAAUUACUGGGCGUAAAGCGUGCGCAGGCGGAUUGUUAAGCAAGACGUGAAAUCCCCGGGCUUAACCUGGGAAUGGCGUUUUGAACUGGCAGUCUAGAGUGUGUCAGAGGGGGGUAGAAUUCCACGUGUAGCAGUGAAAUGCGUAGAGAUGUGGAGGAAUACCGAUGGCGAAGGCAGCCCCCUGGGAUAACACUGACGCUCAUGUACGAAAGCGUGGGUAGCAAACAGGAUUAGAUACCCUGGUAGUCC
rnacentral:rRNA from 1 species